rnacentral:rRNA from 1 species
GCGAAAGCGAGUUUUAACUGAGCGUUCAGUUACUUGACGUAGACCCGAAACCGGGCGACCUACCCAUGAGCAGGAUGAAGCGAAAGUAAAAUUUCGUGGAGGUCCGAACCCACGAGCGUUGAAAAGCCCGGGGAUGACUUGUGGGUAGCGGUGAAAUUCCAAUCGAGCCCGGAGAUAGCUGGUUCUCCCCGAAAUAGCUUUAGGGCUAGCCUCAAGGUGAG